GACAUUUGCAGGGCUGGCAUGAUUGGAGUCUUGUGGUGAGCCCUGUGGGGGCUGGGGAGGCUGCAGGUGCCCCUCCCCGACCAGUGCGUGAUAGAAAGCUGGCUCUUCAGGUGGGGGCCUGGCCUAGAACUGGGUUCCCGGAGCUUGGUGUGUGCUGGGGGUUCUCCCCAGACCUAAAUGGUGGUAGGCAGUUGGGUGAGUCCAUCUCUCUGGUCCUUUCUAGCACAGGCGUGUGGGGCUAGGCAGCAGCCUCCAUGACUAUGCAUGGACACACAAGCCUCCUGGCUCCCUGGGAGGAGUCUCGUGGCUAGAAAUGGAACCUCCAGAUUUCUUGGGGCAACAUUCUAGAUCCCCUGACUUCAGCUCUGUAAGGUCAUGGGUAAGCCUGAAGCAGGUUCUGACGCAUUCGAUCCUGCAAUAAGUCUGUGAAAUGGGGAGCCAGCCAUGGCGCUGUGGUUGUGAGUAACAGAAGCCCCCAACUCAACUGGCCAUACGGAAGCAGAGAAGCACCUGACUCAUCAGCCUACGGCAGGAUUCCCAGUCAGCGAGGCAGCUGCUCAGGUAACAGAGUCCCCAACUCCAAAUGGCUUAAACAAUGAAAAACUGCAUCUAUUGCCUCAGCAGCAAUGUUCAGUAACAUGGGACCCCACCUCCCUGGCCAUAGCUGAUUGGACCAGAGGGAAGCUGCACCCAGGGCAGCCAAUCAGUGGCCGGGCAAGCAGCCAAUGGGAUGUUCUGGAGGGGGAGUUCGCCCAAUCAGGGUUCCGGGGAAGUCCACUCUGGGUCUCUCUCUGGAAUUUGAGUCAGAGAUUUGGAAGGAGUAUGGGGCAAUAUGUAAAGGAGCAGAAGACGAAAGCCACACCACAGGGAGGGAGGGAGGUGCCGGCAGCAUCAGCCUGGAGAGGAGUCGGCCAUCUUUGAAACCACGAAUAGAAGAUUCUCUGUCCUCAGAGCCCCCGAGUUUCUCAGCCAAGGGAGACCAUCCAAACACUAUAGCGGCUGAGGAUGCAGUCAUUGGAAUCCACCAUCUACUCCGUUGCCAUGGUGAUGAAAACCUGGACCCAGCGGAAAGUUCUCUGUGCUCUUGGCAACGAGGCUGCGGCACCCUGCCUCCCGCCCGCCCGCCUGUGUGUGGGCGGCCAGCUCGGCUGCUGCCAGGAUUCGGGGCCAGCGCUGCCUCUCCGUGAGACCCAGCCCUUCCCCCACGGAAUCUAGCGUGGGAGCCCCGGCGUGUCCAGUGCCAAGGGCCCUCAGAGAAUUUCUGGCCUCUUCCAAUUUACAGAGCCUGGAAGAGAAGUCCUGGCUGAAUCACAGGAACAAGCCAUGAGGGCAUUCCUUCCCCCAGACCAUCCACCAAACAUUCAUUUCAUUAAUAAAUUCCUUUUUUUUACAACCAAAA